AGAUUAUCUCUGAUGAAUGAAGUCCUGCCUGGAGUGAGGAAUGGACUACUGUAUAUGACUUCCAGAAGACUCUGUCUGGCUGAUGAUUCAUGGUGCACUGGGCAGAUCCCAGGGCCCUCAUUCUGGAGUAGUCCUGUGGAAAGGCCCAGGAACAGAUGUCUCUAGCCAACAGUCAGUAAGGACUUGAGGAGACUCUGUGUUAGAGGCACCUGGCUAAGCUGAGCCCAGAUUCCUGACUCAUAGAAACUAGCUUCUUGGGGACUGACUUAUUCAUCUUGAGAUCUGCUGGAACAACUCAAUAGGAAGCUACUUGAGGAAGUGCUGUGCCAAAACAAGACUAUAAAUCAAGAAAGAAGAAAUGAGCCCAACCAGUGUGGUUCAGUGGUUGAGUAUCGACCCAUGCACCAGGAGGUCACAGGUUCUGCAGAGCAUUUCUAUUGAAAGACUGGCUACAAUCCGGACGGCCUGGGAGUCUAUACACCCCACUCCAUAAACCAGUCAAGCCGAUCUACCAACCCAAUCUGGAGCAGUAGUUGCCACCAGGAGCUGUAUAUGGCUGCUCUCUCCCUUCCCACUUUUCAGAGAUUCUGAUGGAAUCUCCCCCUGGGCAGAAGGCCAAAAUCUUGGGGGUGGGGAGAGGGUACAUGGAGGAAGGAGGCCAUACAGUGGCAUGGUUAAAAGCUUAGGCUUUGGAAUGAGGCAGACCUGUGACUUUUGGCUAGCUUACUCAACCUCUCUA